ACUCUCGGAUUCAUUUCAAUCCACAUGUAUUGAGCUGUAUUGGAGUGGAACAUAAAUAAAAUCACACUCAAGUCCACCUCAAUACAUGUGGAUUGAAGUGAUUCUGAGA
rnacentral:pre_miRNA from 1 species